rnacentral:lncRNA from 1 species
UCACCUUGCAGUCCAUUCCCGUUGGCGCUGGUGCAGGAAGGAGGAGGAGAGGCUUGGGGCCGGACCACGGGCGCGAAGGCGCUCUUCUGUUUCACUGCGGAGAUGACAUUGGCAGGUGAGAAUGAGAAAAUGCCGUGUGUGCUGCUACAGUUUGAAGGGAGGGUGACCGAAGAGGCUGCCAUGGUGGGGCUGGACGGCACUACUGCAACAAAGCAAACAACAGUGAAUAUCUGACAUCCGUUGCUAGCAUGUUCACAAAUUAAAAAGCAGCCUAAUGACAUCGCCUAUGUUCAUGCUGAGCAUUAAAAACUGUCUCCUCCAAGUGCAUUUCAUCUAUAAGAAAUUCAGAUGCUCGGGAAAUUAAAAUUUCAAAGAUCUGCUGCAAAAAAAAUCAAUGGGGCGAGAUCAAUGCUCAUAGAAAUUUCAUGAACUUUGAACUGAUCCGGGCAUGAUGAUGAGAGGUAGCUGGAGUUUCAGGCGGCUGAUGGCUCCUCACAUGGAUGAAAAGCG